rnacentral:rRNA from 1 species
UACAGAGGUCUCAAGCGUUGUUCGGAUUCAUUGGGCGUAAAGGGUGCGUAGGCGGCGCGGUAAGUCGGGUGUGAAAUCUCGGAGCUUACUCCGAAACUGCAUUCGAUACUGCCGUGCUUGAGGACUGGAGAGGAGACUGGAAUUUACGGUGUAGCGGUGAAAUGCGUAGAUAUCGUAAGGAAGACCAGUGGCGAAGGCGGGUCUCUGGACAGUUCCUGACGCUGAGGCACGAAGGUCAGGGAGCAAACGGG